GCUCCCGUAAUAUAAAGGCGAUUAUCCCUGUUUUGUAAUCAGGUUAUGGCAGUUCGAGUCUGUCCGGGAGCACCA
rnacentral:tRNA from 1 species